ensembl:lncRNA
UUAAAAUUAAGCUUUUUCAGAGUAUGCCAUUGAAUCCCAUUAGUACAUUCACAGUGUUGUGCGAUCACUGCCUCUACCCGAUUACAGAACAGUCUCAGUUCCACCAAGGAACGCUCUGUAUCCGCUCCACAGCCCUCCUGUUUAUCCCCGGUGCUUCCCCGCGCUGCUGGUCCGUGUGACCCUGCAGGGCCUGGCCUCCACCGCUACAGUGUCUUCUGGGCUCAGGUCGGUGCACAUCCGCUCCGCUCUGUCCCACCGCCUGCUGCUCCUGUGCCUGUCACCUCGAGUUAGGAUCCAGUGCGGGGCUUCUGGUCGCUGUCUUCGGGCGCUUCCCAGGGUGUCCCACACUCAGGUCCUCCUGUCUGUCUCACUGCAUCUUGGUUUCCGCCGUGCCCACCCUGGUGGGCAUGAGGUGGCAGCUCCCUGGUUUGCUUCCCUUCUCCCCAGUGAGGAGCGGCGGUCCUGAGUGUUUCCCAGGCUCUCUGGGGCCAUCUGUCUGCCCCGAGAAGUGGCCCCGCCCCGCCCACGCCCAGCAAGUGCCUUGCUGCCAAGCUGCUUCCCGGCCCUCACCUGUGUUUACUAUAGAUAGGUUAGAAAAUGAGGUGAAACCAAGGAAGAGUGACAAGUUACACCAGUGUCCUGGCGCUGACCGGCAUCAAGCUGCCGCGGGGGCCAGGCGAGUCCUCUCCCCUUCCUCCUCCACACUCAGCUGCCCUCCUUCCUGUGCCUUGGAAAAGCUAGAGCUUUGCUUCCAGACCUCUUGGUUUAUCCCUUGCCUUGCCGUGAGCACUGCAGUGAGGAGAAGGCCUGGGGCAGCUGCGCGGGGUGGGGUAAUCAGGGCCGGAGCUGCCUGUGCACAGCCCGGGUUCCGCCCAUCCCAGCCCUGCAGAGCGUGAGGAGGAGCUGAAGGAAAUCAUUAUCCGGAUGGGACUCGAUCCUGCCUUGCUGAGGUGCCCUACUCCUUAGAGACAGGGAAAGCGCUUAGUCUCCAUUGCCUUACUGUAUCUAUUAUGUACUUUCUGACCCUUAACCCUUGUUACAGGCGAAGAAGAGUAAAACCAAAAUGCCAUCUUUGGUAAAGAAGUGGCAGAGUAUCCAGCGAGUUAGAUGAGGAGGAAAACUCAAGUUCCAGCGAGGAGGACCGGGAAUCCACAGCCCAGAAGCGCAUUGAGGAGUGGAAGCAGCAGCAGCUGGUCAGUGGCAUGGCAGAGAGAAAUGCUAAUUUUGAAGCCCUUCCUGAGGACUGGCGAGCAAGACUAAAGAGAAGGAAAAUGGCUCCAAACACAUAGUUUAAAUUUUUUUAAAAAAUUUUGUUUUGUUUUGUGUUGGUUCAGAGUCCUAACCAGUCUUACUGUUGUCCAGUAAACUAAAUGUUAUGGGGAACGUGCGCGCUUGCUGGUGAAGCACAUUCGCCGCGUAGUGUCAUCCUCUCCUGCAGUGUCACUGUCUUGGUUUUGCCAAAGGAGGUGAUGGGACAGCUUCGACCUGGCUGGCCUUACUCCGAUGCUGGCCACCCCGGCACGGCAAGUAUGAGCCUGCCGCCUCUGCGAGGCUUAGCGACAAGUGGAGGCUUUGCCUGCCUGCUAGAGCUGAGCUCCGUCCUAAUGUGGCUCUGACUUCUACUCCGACAAGUGCAAUUAGAAGCAGCUCUGCCUGCCUUGCUUGGCUUCAGACCCCUCCGCUUACCGCCUGGGAGCGCUGAGCUGUCAGGCUGAUGUGCCCAGGAGUCCUGUCUCACAGGCUGGGAGCCCAGUCAUUUGCAUGCCAGGUGGCAGGGUUCCAUUGUGAUACAGGCAGCAGUGGCCACGGUGGUUCAGAUCCUCGGUUUUGAGAGAUUUCCCAAAUACACAGCAGGAAGUGUACCAAGGGCCACUCUGUGUCUAGUGUGUCCGUUGUACCCUGUCCCAGAGUCACCUCCCUGCUCUGUGAAUGUGGACUCCAUAAAAUUCCAGUAUUUAAAAGGCAGUUUGCUGUUGUACUUUCUGUUGUAUCACAAUCAGGUAAAGUCACUUUAAACUGAAGAAAAAACAAAUUGUGUUUUAAAGCUGUUUUUAUUUCUCCAAUUUCUGACCUUGUAAAUUUUGUAUAUAUGCACUAAUAAAACUCUUUUUAUACUUG